UACGAAGGGGGCUAGCGUUGUUCGGAAUUACUGGGCGUAAAGCGCGCGCAGGCGGUCUUCCAAGUCAGUGGUGAAAGCCCGGAGCUCAACUCCGGAACUGCCAUUGAAACUGUAAGACUUGAGGAUGAGAGAGGUGAGUGGAAUUCCCAGUGUAGAGGUGAAAUUCGUAGAUAUUGGGAAGAACACCGGUGGCGAAGGCGGCGAGCUGGUCCAUUACUGACGCUGAGGCGCGACAGCGUGGGGAGCAAACAGG
rnacentral:rRNA from 1 species